UACGUAGGGUGCAAGCGUUGUCCGGAAUUAUUGGGCGUAAAGAGCUUGUAGGCGGUUUGUCGCGUCUGCCGUGAAAAUUCGAGGCUCAACCUCGAACUUGCGGUGGGUACGGGCAGACUAGAGUGUGGUAGGGGGAGACUGGAAUUCCUGGUGUAGCGGUGAAAUGCGCAGAUAUCAGGAGGAACACCGGUGGCGAAGGCGGGUCUCUGGGCCAUAACUGACGUGAGGAGCGAAAGCGUGGGGGAGCGAACAGG
rnacentral:rRNA from 1 species